rnacentral:rRNA from 1 species
GUUAGGAAUAUUGGACAAUGGGCGCAAGCCUGAUCCAGCCAUGCCGCGUGAGUGAUGAAGGCCUUCGGGUUGUAAAGCUCUUUAGCCGAUGAUUAUAAUGACUGUAGUCGGAAAAUAAGCCCCGGCUAACUUCGUGCCAGCAGCCGCGGUAAUACGAAGGGGGCGAGCGUUAUUCGGAAUCACUGGGCGUAAAGCGUGCGUAGGCGGCUUUGCAAGUUGGGAGUGAAAGCCCAGGGCUCAACCCUGGAAUUGCUCUCAAAACUGCAAGGCUCGAAUUCGGGAGAGGAUAGCGGAAUUGUCAGUGUAGCAGUGAAAUGCGUAGAUAUUGACAGGAACACCAGUGGCGUAAGCGGCUAUCUGGACCGAUAUUGACGCUGAGGAACGAAAGCGUGGGGAUCAAACAGGAUUAGAAACCCCGGUAGUCC